CGUUGAUCCUGCGGGAGAUUGCUGCUAUUGGGAUUCGAUUAAGCCAUGCAAGUCAAGGGGGUCUUCGGACCACCGGCAGAAGGCUCAGUAACACGUCGAUAAUCUGCCCUUAGGUUCAGAAUAGCUUUGGGAAACUGAAGGUAAAUCUGAAUAGGAAAUAAGGAUUGGAAUAUUCUAUUUCUGAAACGUAAGGCCUAAGGAUGAGUCGGCGGCCGAUUAGAUUGUUGGUGGGGUAAUGGCCCACCAAGUCUAAGAUCGGUAAGGGCCAUGAGAGUGGUAGCCUUGAGAAGGGAACUGAGAUACUGUCCCUAGCCCCACGGGGCGCAGCAGGCGCGAAACCUCUACAAUGCACGAAAGUGUGAUAGGGGAAUCCCAAGUGCUCAUGUUUUACAUGGGCUUUUGCCAAGAGUAAACACCUUGGCGAAUAAGUGGUGGGUAAGACUGGUGCCAGCCGCCGCGGUAACACCAGCGCCACAAGUGGCAAUCAGUAUUAUUGGGCCUAAAGCGUUCGUAGCCGGUUUUGUAAAUCCUUUGUGAAAUCGUUGGGCUUAACCCAACGGCGUGCGGGGGACACUGCAAAACUUGGAACCGGGAGGAGCAAGAAGUAUUCUGGGGGGAGCGGUAAAAUGCUAUAAUCCUCAGAGGACUACCUGGCGAAGGCGUCUUGCUAGAACGGAUUUGACGGUGAGGAACGAAAGCUAGGGUAGCGAUCCGGAUUAGAUACCCGAGUAGUCCUAGCUGUAAACGCUGCGAGCUAGGUGUUGCACAUUCUUCGUGAGUGUGCAGUGUCGGAGCGAAGGUGUUAAGCUCGCCGCCUGGGAAGUACGGUCGCAAGGCUGAAACUUAAAGGAAUUGGCGGGGGAGCACCACAAGGGGUGCGGCGUGCGGUUUAAUCUAACUCAACGCAGAGAAUCUCACCAGGAGCGACGGCAGUAUGAAAGUCAGUCUAAAGGGCUUACUUGACGAGCCGAGAGGUGGUGCAUGGCCGUCGUCAGCUCGUGCCGUAAGGUGUCCUCUUAAGUGAGGCAACGAGCGAGACCUGUACCGGCAAUUGCUAACGAGUAGCUUGCUAUGAUCGAGCACAUUGCCGGGACUGCCUUGGAAACAAGGAGGAAGGUGCAGGCUACGGUAGGUCUGUAUGCCCCGAAUCUUCUGGGCUACACGCGCGCAACAAUGGUAAGGACAAUGGGAUGCAACUUCGAAAGAAGAAGCCAAUCCUCUAAACCCUAUCUUAGUCCAGAUUGAGGACUGUAACUCGUCCUCAUGACGCUGGAAUCCCUAGUAAUCGGGUUUCAACACGGCCCGGUGAAUAUGUCCCUGCUCCUUGCACACACCGCCCGUCAAACCAACUGAGCAGGGUUUAGAUGAGGCUUAAUUUUUUGAUUAAGUCGAAUCUAAGCUCAGUGAGGUGGGUUAAGUCGUCACAAGGUA
rnacentral:rRNA from 1 species